rnacentral:rRNA from 1 species
CCGGGAAACCGGUGCUAAUACCGGAUAUCCCCAUCGAGUCGCAUGGCUCAAUGAGGAAAUGGAUUCCGCUUCGGGAGGGGCUCGCGGCCUAUCAGCUAGUUGGUGGGGUAACGGCUCACCAAGGCUUCGACGGGUAGCUGGUCUGAGAGGACGAUCAGCCACACUGGGACUGAGACACGGCCCAGACUCCUACGGGAGGCAGCAGUGGGGAAUCCUGCACAAUGGGCGAAAGCCUGAUGCAGCAACGCCGCGUGAGGGACGAAGGCUUUCUGAGUUGUAAACCUCUUUCAGCAGGGACGAUUAUGACGGUACCUGCAGAAGAAGCCCCGGCCAACUACGUGCCAGCAGCCGCGGUAAUACGUAGGGGGCAAGCGUUGUCCGGAUUUAUUGGGCGUAAAGCGCUCGUAGGCGGCUUGGCAAGUCGAAUGUGAAACCUCCAGGCUCAACCUGGAGAUGCCAUUUGAUACUGCUAUGGCUAGAGUUUGGUAGGGGACCACGGAAUUCCUGGUGUAGCGGUGAAAUGCGCAGAUAUCAGGAGGAACACCAGCGGCGAAGGCGGUGGUCUGGGCCA